CGUUGCGAGCUGCUGGCGGCCGCAACAGUCAGAGAGAAAGCAGGGCAGACACAGAAAUGAGGCCUGGAGAGAAGAAGCAGAUGUGGUGACAUGUCUGAGGAAGAGUGGGACUGCCCUGACUGCCUGAAUAGAGAAUGUAUGAGGUCAGCCUUCAUGGCUGAGAGACCCUCAACCCCAUCCAUUACCCCGCUCCCAACACAGUCUUCACUGUCAGAACUUCUGGAAAUAGCCCUGCAUUCAAGUCAGCAAAAUGCCUGUGGAGUGAUUGGCUCACAGCAUGAGGACUUGAAUUUGGAUUCCCAGAGUCUCUACGAAGAAAAGCCUGGUGUGCUGCCCCAUGUCUGUGAUCUCUGCUCCAAAGAGGAGCAAACUGGGAGGAGUCCUCAGGAUGAACCGUUCCCAGGGUGUAUAGACCUCAUGGCUGACAUCAUCAUUGGGCAUCACAGAAUUACUGUAAUGGUGGUGGUGGUGGUGGUGGUGGUGGUGGUGGUGCAGGGGGCAGGGCUGGGCCAGGAUGAUGCAAGUCCCGGUGUCUUUUAGAUUUGGAAACCAAGGCUUAGAUUCUCAGGACCAUUCUGUGAGUGACUGGCAAAGCUGCACUUAGAACCUAGUGCCUCCCUUGCUUCACCAAGGCCACCUGCCCAGGAUCUGUUAAUGGCUUUAGAUUUUUUUUUUUUUGAUGCAUUACUGCUGGCCUGACCCCAUUUUCAGCAAUGAGCUUUCACUGGGAAGAAGUCUGCCCCCAAGGGCAGCAGGCCCAGGGGUCACUCAGAUUAAGACUGCUGAAAAUGAUCAAGUGCCUUAGUGAAUGUCAGCAAAGGCGGGCAGGGCGUGCCAAUGACAGUUCAUGCGCUUGGUGACUUGGUGAUGUGAGUGUGGCCAUCCAUCCCCACUUUACAAGAGGAGCUUAGAGAGGCUGGGAGCCUUCCUUCCCCAAAGACCCACUUGGUAGUUUCCUCACACCCACUAGAAUGGGCAUUCCAGAAAAGAAAGCCAGGCACGAUCCUAAGAAACAGUUAUUCAAAUACUAAAGAGCAAAAAGGCUUCGCUCACUGGGUAACAUCUGACGCCAUGUCAUAGCCACAAGCCUUCAGGCUGCUCUGAAUGCAUCUCAUGUGGCUCUAUUUCCUCAUUCAAGAUACCCUAGGGUCACCUAAUUUCUUUCUCUAAGCAAUUGGCUCCUGUUAUUCCCUCUCCUCAGCCUCAUUAUUGAGCUCUGGGGUCAGCGAGAGAUCUCAUUUCAAAAAGGAAGGUAGAAAGAGAUAGUGGCAUUGACCUCGGGCCUCUAAAUACACGGACAGACAUGGUCUUCUUUUCAAUUAGUUGUCAACUCCCAAGUCACCUUCUGAAAGAGUCUUUGUCCACCCUGACUGCAGGGGUAGCCCUAAUCCCAACCAUCACCCAGACUGUUAGCCAAGCAGCCUGAUACCACCCCAGUGGCUUUCACUGUUCACUGUGUGUCCCUAUCACUGGACUGUGGGUCCCUUGUCUGUUCUGAUGACCACUUUAUUCAUGUGCCCAAGACAGCACGGAGCGCACAGUAGGACCCAGGCAGACUUGUAGGAUACAUCUCUAUCAUUUAAAUGUGAAUGGGUGAGACUUUGGGCCUUGGGCCAGAUGUUGCCCUGUUCUCUCUGCCGACCAUGGAUGUUCUUAGAAGUCCUGGAAUUUUGUAUUUCUUAACAAAUCUCAUUUACAUCAGUCCUGCCACUUGAAACAAGCAAUUUCACCCAAGCCGCACAUGGAGGAAGGGCACAGGGCUGCUAGGAUUACCCACAGUGCCUUCUUUCUUCCAGUGACCCAGAUGGAAAACUAGUCUGUAAAUAGGUGUGGGGCCCUCGGAAAGGUCCAUAGGCUUUCUGCAAUAAUGUAAAAGGAAAACUUUCAAAUACCACCAUUUGCAAAUGAAGACCUUUAAAAUAAUGGGAGGGUGGCUCUGGAAUGGGAUGAUUAGGAUAAUGCGAUGUGUAAGUGGGAGCUUUCCUCUCAAGGACCUACCUGAAUUCUGCUGAGCUCAUCCCACCCGAGACCUCAGAGAGAUCAGUUAUGACUUUUAUUAAAGUCAAACCAAUACCUGUAUUCGCCGCCGCCUGGAGGAAAUUUCUUUCUGUAACUCUGAUUGAAGUUUAAUGGGAACUACACAAAGAAAAUUUACUUAACCUCCUCACCCAUCUCUUCCACAGCGGAAGUCUGCUCAUCACGUGCUCAGCUCCCAGGAGACCCUAUCAAAGAUAGCACUUCUCGGUUUCAUAAUAUUUCUCAGAGUAAAAGAGGGAAGAUAGCUGCAGACCCCCAGCGCUUGAGACUACCACACAGUCGAUGUCUGAUUUUACUUACGGGAACAAUACAGCAGCGUCUCCCGAGGGCUUGCGCAUUAGUACUUCGCACGUUACAAAAUAAAAAGUGUAUGUGCUGCUGAGAAAUUAUCUCAGGUGGACGUGAGGGUCCACAGACACAAAGCUCUGGCUAGGCUGCCCUUGUUCUAUUGCUAGCCAACACCAGCUCUCCUGCUCAGGAUAAAGAAAACCUGAGAGUGGUACCUCUCCUCCAGAGAAGCCCAGGAAGUAAGCGUAUCACCCAUGUCUGCUGUGUACUCGAUAGAUGGAAAGUGGCUGGAAACCAGCUGCAUUUUUAUUGGGAACUUUGUAUAUAUAUAUAUAUUUGGAGAGAGAGAGAG